rnacentral:rRNA from 1 species
GAUGAACGCUGGCGGCGUGCUUAACACAUGCAAGUCGAGCGAGAAGUUUUGAAAAGAUUCUUCGGAUGAAAUUUAAAAUGGAAAGCGGCGGACGGGUGAGUAACGCGUAGGCAACCUGCCCCAUACAAAGGGAUAGCAUUUGGAAACGAAUAUUAAUACCUUAUGAAACUUAACUAGUGCAUGCUAGGUAGGUCAAAGAUUUAUCGGUAUGGGAUGGGCCUGCGUCUGAUUAGCUAGUUGGUGAGGUAACGGCUAACCAAGGCGAUGAUCAGUAGCCGACCUGCGAGGGCGAACGGCCAAAUUGGAACGGAGACACGGGCCAAACUCCUUCGGGAGGGAGCAGUGGGGAAUAUUGCACAAGGGGGGAAACCCUGAAGCAGCAACGCCGCGUGAACGAUGAAGGCCUUUGGGUCGUAAAGUUCUGUUCUAGGUGAUGAAAACUGACAGUAACCUAGGAGAAAGCCCCGGCUAACUCCGUG